rnacentral:lncRNA from 1 species
GGGGAGCGACGAUGAUGAUGAUGGUGAUGAUGACGAUGAUGAUGGUGAAGAUGGCGAGGAUGACGAUGAUGAUGACGAGGACGACGAUGAGGAGGAUGAGGAAGAUGAGGACCAGCCGCCGGCCAAGAAGAAGAAAUGAUCUGCCUUCCUGCUGUCUGUGUUUCAGUCCCUUAGUUUAUCUGCUGUCUAGAUGAUGAUUGAGCGGGUCUGGUACACACCGACCUAUGUAGCUUCUGUGUCGUGGUGGUUUGAUGUCUCAUAGGGUAGAACAUUGAACUUCUAAUGUUGUUUCCUGCGUUGUGCAAGUAGUCUUAACAUUUCGGUGUUGAUGUGCUGUGUUUAUUGGAGCUGUGGUACCAUUCAAUCUAAUUCUUGUUACUCCAUGUUGUCACAUGUGCUUUGAAUGGCUUUUGGGUUCAACUUCUUUAUGCUUCUGGUGAGUGAAUAUUGCAGAGUUUGUAUCACUGCUAUCUGAAUGUUUGGAUUUGAACAACUUGUAAGGAAAAGGCAUGUCAAUCUAAUAGAAGAACCGAAGAAGCAUUUGAGACUUCUUUCAACCUUUUUUGUCUAAAAACCUAUCUUUGCAUGGAUGUUGAAUGGGACAACACAGCUCCCAGCAAUGGAAAACAGUGACAGGCACUUCCAUUCCAAAAUUGUGCCACAACAUACUAAACAUACAUGCACCGCAGAAAAGGCCUAUACAAUAUACAGAGAUCUCUACAGUAUCUGGACGCCCAUGGGACAUGUACAUACACUGUCUACUUGUUCCUACCAGUCUAUCCAGUGCCCAGGAGCUCCAUAAAUUUGCUGGGCAGGGUGAGCUAAACUCCCAACGGAUUUUCCUUCUGAAUGGUCCUUCGACUACUGAUUACUCUCUGUUAAUGACUCAGACGCCAACUUGUUGAAAUCCUGGGGCUCGCUGCUGGCGAAUGUCAACCAGACGGCAGUGCCCGUUAAGUAGAAGAAGAUCGAAGGAGCAAAGAGCGACAUCUGCACAUGUACAAAAGACGGUAAUGAGUUGUUAGAAUGAUACGUGAUAGAAAAUACAGGUCAAGGAGAUGGAUCAGAUUUGUGGUGUUGGCAAGCAUACACUCCAAGAAUGAGUUGUGUCGACAAGAUAGCCGACUAGCGCGACACCAACGAUUCCAGGCACGGCCCCUACGGUGUUUGUGAUUCCCUGGAAUGGAAAGGCAAUGAGUCAACAACCACCCAUAGAAGAAAUUGCCUUUUCUCUUGCCAACUCUGCUUCCCCUUUCCACCAGUGCCUUCAGUAACAACCAUUGUUUGAUGAAUUAUACAGACUCGUUAGCGGUAGGCACUAAAAGUCUGAAACUACCAAAACUAGAAACACUAGGAUGUGGGGUAUUCCUCUGGAAAUGCAUUUACUAUCAAGUAAAAUCUCAAGGGUUUUAAUUACGAAUCCCUGUCCAGGGUCCGAUAUAGUAACAAACAAAAUUACAACCAAAUAUCUGGUCCAAACAAAGGGAAUUUUGUUUUCUUUUUACCAUUCCAUUUUUUACAGGACAAACACAGAUUUUUUUUUCCAGAAAACGGUUAUAAGUUGCAUGCCUUACCAGGAGAAUGCUUGCAUAUUCACGAGAUAUAUCUUGAUGGGUGCAAUAAAGACCUGUUUGUAAACCGAAACAUUAAGAUUUUGGAUGUUGGAAACAUGGAAGGAAAAGGAAUUGCUGCAAGCUUAGCACAAUUACCUGAUAAUGCGAAGUUGGAGAGUGAUAUACCACCUGUAAGGAAAGCAACAACGACCCAGGGAGGCAGUCCAAGAUCGACAGAGGAAAGCAUCAUAAAAGCUGCAGGUGACAAGAACGCAAUUGCUUGACAUAUUUUCCGUACCUACAAAAGAAAUUAAUCAACUUAGACUCAACUUUUUCGUUGUCCUGUAAAAAGGCCUUACUUACACAAGAAAACUAGACAUCUCGUGGCAAUUUGCAGUGGUGAUUUUUAAAUAUUCCAAACUUUACAAAUAAACUCUAGGAGCAUCCAUAUAGGAACCUAAUAAAGGGGGUCAACUAAAAUCAGAGCAAGCAGAUUUUUUAUUAUUCCUUUUUCAUCUUCAAGGCAAUUAUUUACCUUUGUGGUGUCAACUCCACUUGAUAUCAAGUUGUCUGCAAAAGGUGCUGCAAUAGAUGUAAUAACCAUUGAACCCAAAGGAGGAAGAAUUGACACCUACAACAAAUACCAAAUAUGGGACUUCAUAAGACAUGAGACUGGAGCAGUAGUUGUAAAUGAAAAACAAGGACACACCAUGAUCACAUAGUAAGAACGAGGAGGGAUAUGAGGCUUUCAUUACAAGGGUGUUCCUGUAAUUAUAAGAAAUGAAAGCAUGUACAUACCCAUGCAGCGUCUGUCAAGUUCAAGUUUAGCUCCUCACUGCAUAAGAAUUGAACAGGAAUAUAUCACAAAAAAGCAAGGACAUUGUUACAAAUAUUUGACAUAAUGUACUGAACAGCAGAAAGAAGACUGGAUUCCCCCAAACAUUUUGCUGGACUUCUAAAGCAUUAUUAAAUUGACGUAUCACAACAAAUGCGACUAUGAUACGAAAGCAGCUAUGCAAUACAGCGCCACGUAAAUCUAUAAUGUCCAGUCUCAACUUGAGCACAAGUUUCAGAAAAUUUAUAUGUAAAAAUCUCCUGUUCCAUUUGGUUCUAUCUUUGUUGAAGUCAAUCCACUUUCAGAAAACUGAACUGAACGAGUAGGAAAAGUGUGCACGUGCAAGAAAGUUGUUCAUAUAGGGUGUUAACACACUGAAAAGUUAGUGAACGAAAUCCUAGCAAUUCAAUCUCAAUAGUAGCACCAAAAUGUUGAAUAGUAAAAGAAAUAGGUGUGUCCAACUCACUAGGGACAGUUCAUGAAAAUAAGACAGUUAGUUAAUCGAAAGGGGAUACAUUGAGUGAAAAAUGACAAGACAAAAUGCAAAGUGCCAAACCUAAAGAAUGUUGGAAGCCAAGACAAGCAAGUAUAGUGGCCCCAGCUUCCACAAAAGUGAGUGUAUAUCAUUGCCCACACUGCCUUGCUUUUAAAGAAUUCCCCCCAAGGCACAUCCUACAACACAAAGGAUAAAACUUGCUAUAUCAGUAAUGUUUGUGAAUCAAGCACCUACACUAUUUAAUACAUAAUAAUGCAUCACUCCCAUCAACAGGGUCACCUUAUUUUAUUGGGAGUUAUAAAUUACAUCUACAGCCAAGUGAAAUAGGUCACAGCACUCGUGCUGAACUGUCGCUAGAUGGGGGAAAGCCCAACAUGUACUGUAUACAACAUCCAAAUAGGGAAAGGCUCAGUGGUAUGCCUUUAAUGUCAUGCAAGUUAACAAAAGCAUAGUUAUGUGCUAUAGUUAGACCAAGAUGGCCAUGUGAUACAGGUGAAAAAUUCCUUAUCUGGAAGGCACAGUUUUCGUUGGUUCAUUGGCUUAUCGUUCGUUAUUACAAAAUGAUGUCUUCCAAGUACAGUGCGCAUCUUUCUGCAACCCCGGCUGAAGUCUAUGGCAGCAUUUAUAUUUUGCAGUCUCACCACACAGUAGCAACAGACUAGCAGAACAGUCUAUUGGCUAUUCUGGGUAUAUAGUAAACAAAACUAAGAAUGGCAUGUAAACAAAGAGAUUAAAAUAAAUUUUCAUUCGAGCAAAUUAAAUUGCAGAAGCUAGCACAAAAUCCACACCAACGAUAGUUUCGAUUAUAUUGCACAUACUAACUACUUGAGAGGAUUCUCGAGUCUUCACACUUUUACAACGGCAAACAGUUCACACAAAUUCACAAUUUGAAACACUCUAGCAACCAACAUAUUUCUUGCCAAUGAACUGAAAAGUUUCUCAGAUCAUUUGAUGUAGUUGAUAUAACUUGAUACUGGAACUUUUUCAUCGAUCUCACAACUUUGUAACACUUUUAACUUGAUUCAUGUCUUCUAUGUUCUAACAAAGAGGUUAAGUGACAUGCCAAUAGCUACUUUUCAACUGGUGGAAAAAACUAUAGUGAAUAUGUCAGCUCUCAAACCUUUAGUGAGUCUGUCAUCUCUUCAAGUGAUGAGUCCGAUGACUUUGAAGGCACAGAUGAUGAGACAUGACCAUUAGAUCCAGCAGAAGUAUUUUCAAGAUCUGUAAAGUAGAUGGUAUUUUCAGGUAUUGUAGUUGAAAUUUUGUACUUAUUGCGCAGAAAUGGUAAGAUCAUAAUGAACAAAUAUUUUUAGCAAACAAGCUAAGCUCAAAGAAUACUUAAUACUGAACAUAUUGAAUGCUAUUUUGUAAUAGUACCGAUAAAUCUAGUGCAAACCACACUCAAAACAUAAUCAUGUAAACAUAUUGGUUAGUACAUCAAAUCAAUUUGGAACUACCAAAUUUGAGGUAGUCCUCAAUGUAUCUGCUGUACAAUUGAAAUUUCUCAUAUUUAAAACUGAUUAGUGUUAGAUUGAAAGGAUGAUUUUCUGACAUAAAUCUGUGUCAGCAUCACAUUGAUCCCUUUUCUCUCUUCCAAGUUUAACAGCUGUUACUUAAUAGACUACAUGAUUUUCUGACAUAAAUCUGUGUCAACAUCACAUUGAUCUUUUGGGGGGAAUUUUUCAAGUUACCUUUAUGCUCAAACAGUCAGAAGUGCACAUAUAGGAUUUGCCACGAUACGUAAACUUGGGUCAGGCAUGGCACUUAUGUUAGAUCAAACUUGACAUAGAGGUUACGAAGACCAGAUUGUACAAUCAUGAUCACAAGAUCAAACCAAACUGACAACCUGGCUAUACAAGGUUGCCGAAUAUUCUACAGUUCAUAUACGAUUACACAAACCAAGAUGGUUUGGGUAAUUGCAUCAAGCUAUGAUUUUUCACUAGAUAUGUCAUAUCUGCUUAUGAAAAAACACACAAUGAUAUCAUUAAGGCCACAAUAUGAUUCCUUCAGCUAAACUAGCAUGCCACAAUUCAUUUUCUUCUAUAACACAUACAAACGGAGUAUAUUAAAAAAGAGAUAUGAUUAAAAGUAACAUUCAUUGCAAGUCUCAAUGGACAGUUUCUAUCAUGGUUGUUAAGACUUGUAAAAUAGAUGUGCACUUACUUAAUAUAUCUUCAUUGUCACCUGGCUGUAGUUCUUGUACAGAUUCAAACACUAGACACCUGUGGAAAUAAAAGAAGAUGAAGCUAACCAGAAGAAAUAUUCAAUUAUGUGCUGCUAAGAAGUUUUUUGCUUACCAUAUAAUUCCAAGAAGACCAAAUAUGUAAAAGACAGAUUCCCAGCCAAGGUUCUGAAUGAUGGGAGGGGCGAACAGAAGUCUGUAAUAUUAUCAUAGACCAGGAGUUAACUAUCUCGUACCAUUGUCAAUUAAGUUGUGUAAUCAUAAUGUCAUACAGUCAAAAUGCAAUGCAAUGUUGUUUUAGAACCAAGCAAAAAGUUACAUCAGGUUACAAAGGUCUGAUAAUCUAUCAGGAUUUCUGUAAAGAUGAAAGUUUCUGCUUAGACCCAAAACUUUUACGUGCAUCUGAAUAUAUCUUGAAAAUACUGCAAAACACUUACCCUAAGACACUUCCAAAGGCUAAACCACCAAAAACAACAGAAACCGCUCUUGAUCUUUCUUUAAGAGGAAUGGUCCUGAAUGUGCAGCCAUAGCAGUUAAAUAUGCAAUAAUAAUGUAUGAGAAUGAUGCUUCUCAAGUUUAAUAUGUUUAUUCUAUGUUCUUCCAGAGAGCAGCAAUAAUUCUACUACCUUCUAUCAUGUUCAAUAGAAUUAAGAUCUCAGCAGGGAGAUAAGGUAGCUUUCUAUUGGAUUUCCUUUAAGCAUAACAAGUACUUCCUCCGUUCCUAAAUAUUUGUCUUUUUAGAGAUUUCAAAUGGACUACCACAUACGGAUGUAUAUAGACAUAUUUUUCACUCAUUUUGCUCCGUAUGUAGUCACUUGUUUAAAUCUCUAGAAAGACAAAUACUCCGUCCGAAAAUACUUGUCAUCAAAAUGGAUAAAAGGGGAUGUAUCUAGACAUAUUUUAGUUCUACAUACAUCUCUUUUUAUCCAUUUUGAUGACAAGUAUUUUCGGACGAAAGGUAUUUAGGAACAGAGGGAGUAAUAAUACAUAGUUCUUUUUUCUUUCAUAAACGUGUCAACAGAAAAGCUACAUCAUAUCCACACCAAUAACCAUUGAGAAAGUUAUGCAAUAUAAUCGUCAUAAAAAAUCCAGAAUAAGACGUACAUCAAUCUUUUAUGUAUUUCAAUAAAAGAACGUGAAUAGCUACCACCUGCGAUUAAGCACAGGUAGCUAAAAAAGAAUCCAUCUAAACAUUAAAUAUCCACAAAAACAAUGCCAAUACACUAGUUAGCUAGCGAAGAGUGUAUAGUCACAAGAUUCACCAUCAUCGAUACAGGGUAUUUCUAAUAAAUAUCUCUACAACUACAUGAGAACCGUGAAAAUUCCUGCUUAAAAUUUUAGGAAGCAGCCUGAAAUUCACAUGAAGGAGAUGUAAAUGGUAGCCUGUGUCCAAGGAGAAGGUAUUUUAGGCUUACCGUGCAAUUAAAUCUGUAGCUGCUGAUGGUGAGACUCCUUCUCCAAUGCCUACCUAGCAUAGCAACAAAGUUAAAAUGAAUAAAUACAAGGAUAAAUAUUUAAAUAGUAAAUUAUUACUAGGAACACUCCCACCGUACUGACAUGAAGAUGUGAUAAAAGAAACUAGGUAUUGUCAUCGCAUGGGAAUGCUCCAAAAACCAAAGUUGACAUGCAGGUACUGCAAUAAUGCAUGGGGUGCUUUAUAUGGUAAGGUGAAGGGACACUUAUUUGCACCAAAACACAUUUUUACAUAAAUAUGAUACACCUGCCACCUGGAAAUGUGCAUAUGAAAUAAUAUAGCAAUCAUCAUCUUAAAAAAAUGUUUUUAUAGGUAACCCAGUCUAUGCUAAUUUAUGCUCAGAAUACACAGAAACGUUAACCCAAAUAAUAACAGCCAUCACUCUCGGUUGAAAGUAUGCUUUGUAUGGGUAUGUGUUCCUAAUACAGAAAUAAAACCAAUGUACAAAACAUGGUAAAAAAAGCACAAAAGAAGUUAAGUGUACCGGAUCAUAUGUGAACAAGAAGUUUCUAGAGGCUAACUAAUGAGUAGAGGUAUACCAGAAUCCUUGAUAGCACAAGUCCUGGCAUGAAUCCUGCUACAACAGGAAUAACAGCUGUGGCCAAAGACCACACAAGAACACCGGCCUUAAGCACUGUCCUGCAAUUAGCAUAUGAGAAAAACAAUUAUUGCAAUAUGAAAAUAAAUAAAUGAAUAAUAUGCAUUAUAUGAGAAAUAUAAGAUGAGAAAAAAUUUAUGAUCAAAUUAUAAGAAAUCAAAUUAUAAGAGAUGGCCUUUGAGUUAUGCAAGAAGCGCCUGCUAAACAAGUUACAUGCUUGUUUCUUAAUUCAUUUAUUGUUGGUUUACGCCUAUGAAUUUUUGUUGCUAAGAAUUUAAGAGUCAAGCUAGACUGAUAACAUAAAAAUAUGCAACCGGAAAAGAGGCAAAAUAACAUUAUAAAGCCAGGUAGAACUCACAAACCAUAUUAUACUCCCUCCUAUCCAUAAUAAGUGUCGCAGGUUUGAAUUAAGAUUGAACUAACCUUAGUUCAAAACUGCGACACUUAUUUUGGAUUGGAGGGAGUAGCAUUUAGCACGUCAUACUUCUCUUUUGCAUUUUUCCUUACCUACUACACUUAGUCUAAAGAUUCUUCCGAUGGUACGGACAGAUGGUUUUAGUUAGAUAGCAUAGGUGAAGAAGAAACAACUGUCAUCAUGACAUUUAACUUUUAUUUGGGACAAUGCCAUAUUAGAGUCACCAGCAGUCAAUAACUAUACUUAUGAUGCAAAAAAUCUUUGUGUAUGCAAAAUCAAAGAUAACUUUGUAUUUGUAUUUAUAAAAUGUACAGGAGGCUUUUUGUUACCCCAAACAAACCUUCCACCAAUCAAUUUUGCCAGCCAGCCCCCAGGUAGUUGACUCAAAGCAUAGCCCCAGAAGAAUGAUGAUUGAACUAGGCCAGCAGUCGAUGAGCUCCAACCAUACUGAUGUGACAUUGGAAUGAUCGCAACACUCAAGUUAACCUGAAAAGGUAGAGUAGUUGCGUUUAGCAGAAAUUCCUGAGGAAACAAAAACUGAACUGCCUAGAUAAGCCACACAUAGAAGUAAUUAGCUACGCUAAGUGAAGAAGUGCAUAUCAAGACCGCAUUAACAACCUUGAGCAAGUCAGAUGGUUUGCCAGCGAGACAAUUAAUGGUGCAGAAACACUUCGGUCGACAUCAACAACGACAAAAAAUACGUGCAAUAUGGAUGCAGACGAAUGCCAGAACGGAUAUCGCACAACCUGACAGAUAUCAUGUUUGGUAUGGAAUUAACCGUUAAGCAAAGUCGUAAGAGGAAAAUUCCAACCGGUAGGCUUGAGCUGAAGUUUCUCACAGCUACGCCCUCUCUGCGGCGUGCAUGCGGCUAGAGGAAAACCGAAAGAAGACGCCGCCCCAAGCAUCAAAACCUGUUGAGCGUGGCAGAUGCGCGGUGGUAAAUGGUAACCGCUUGCUUUGAUCAUGAGCAAACCGGUAUUAGUGUUCUCCCAAAUGUGGCGCGUGCAUUUCUGUCGACGCCUUGACGCAACAAUGGUGUUAAAUUCAGUCUAGUUGCGGACCUGCGCCCCAGUUUUAAGCCAUGCUUUGUUUUUCCCCCAUCUUGAGUUUCUCCGAUUUGCUCUCGCGGACCACCGCAAGGCGUGUCAGUAGCACCGUCCGUGCUAGCGGAUAGAGGCCAAUUAAGCAGUAAGAAAUGCCCCUAAACGAGAGAGAAAGAGAGCGGAGCGCGCGCAAGCACCUUGUCCAUGUUGCAGAUGACGAAGGCGAGGGAGGUGGCGCCGAUGAGCCUGUAGCGCUCCGGCAGCCCCUCCCAGGGCGGCCACCGAAGCUCCAGCGCCUCCUCCUCCUCAACCUCCUCCGCAAGCACAUCCCCUCCUCCCUUCCUCUCCGCCGCCACCUCCGGGACCACGGAGCGCUUCUCCACGGCGCCCGCGGGCCCGCCCCCGCUGUCUCUGGAGGAGAACCGCCUCACGGCCCCGCGGCGCCGGUGCGGGAGGACGAGCAGGCGCGGCGGGAGCAUGCGGCGGCGGGGCCCGGCGAGGGGGAGGAGGCAGCGCUCGGGCUGCAGCGCGGAGGAGGCCGCCAUCGCCAUGGCCGCUUCGCUCGGGCUCGGGAGCUAGGCGUGGCGCUGCAGUGGAGUUUGAAAUUUCUCGGUGGGGUUUCGGAGAGGAGGAGGGGAGGCGUACACGCGGCGAGGGGCGGAACGAGCGGCCAUGGGCAGCGGAGCAAGCGUGUCGCGUGCCACUGCCGCUGCUCCGCGGCGGGGAGGGGACGGCGACGAGCGUGUGGCUGGGGUCGCCCCUCGGCCACCGACCGGUGGGACCACGCCCCGAUACGGUCACGUGGAAACCGUUGCUACCUGGCUUUGCUAGUUGCCAGUACCUCCUUUGGCAGCCAGGAAAAAGAAAUGCACAAUUAUUAUUAUGGAUAGAUAGACUUUCUGGCACAAUUUUUUUGUUGGCACAUUGCAGGCAUCGAUCAAAACUCUUCUCUGUCUCUCUACAUUUCAUUCACUACUGCAGGUCAUGGACUCGAUAACAUACAUACAUUGCGGUUUCUCAAAACUGUCACCGGCUGGAGAGGGUGCCGCGCUGGGGGUUCAUGUUCAUGUACUGCUCUUGGCAGCCACGGGCUGCUCCGAGGCCGGCACGGAGGGCCUCCAGGCGGUGCCGUCGGGGCCGUCCAUGAGGGCGACGCCGAGGGCCGCCAGCUCGUCCCGGAUCUCGUCCGACCGACCGAACUGCUUCGCCUUCCUCGCCGCCGUCCGCUCCUCGAUCUUCUGCACCACCUGCUCCUCGGUGACGCCCGCCCUCCGCAGCGCCUUCUCCCGCAGCUGCUGCAGAGCCUGAGAAACAACAACAGCACAAGGUCGUCGUCCUCAGUGGAUCAUCAACACUAGUAGAAUGCACAGCAUGGAAACACAUUUGUCUUCUUCACCAGAACCAAGCAUCACAACAGUGGCUGGCCACCAAUCUGCUGUUUUCAGUUUACACAACGCGGCUCUCACCUCAUGGUAGCUCGAAGGCAUCAGCCCUAGGACAGAAAGCACCAUUCUCACUUUCUCUUCCAACGCCGCGAGUGAUUCCAGCCGUUUCUCCUGCUUCUUUCCCUGACCAAACACAACACCAGAGCAAAGAAAGUAGUCAAGGCGACUAGUACUUCUACCUGAGUAGAGUAGUGAAUCCAAAAUGUACCUCCACAAGUUUAUUAUCACUGGCUUUACCUUACGAGUAUGCAGCAAAUCAUUCAUAACUUUCAACGGCUCGGAAAUAGCAGCUAGCGCCACCGAAGUGUGAAGAUCAUCGGACAUCGAGGUUUCGAAAUCCUCGUGAAGCUUCUCGAUGCAGUGCGUGGUAGUAAAAGGUAGUGAACCUCCGCUACUGCUUUGGUCCUGCUGGGUGCUUUCUUCACAGUCGCGCAAUGUCUGUAUGUAGGAAAUGAUUCAGCAUAAGGACAUGAAUUACAAGUAAUGGCAUUUAAAGUAUCGCCUGAUGAAAUAACAAGAAUGGUGAAAUGUAACUUUUAGUGCCAACACAAGUCGAGAGUUCCGACUAGUCAGGCACAAGGAGCAAUUUUAUAGUCUCAGGCAUGGAUACAAAAGCUACCCGUUGCUGGCUGUAAACUGACUGACUUCAGCUAGAGACACAGAGCGACUACUACUGUACUCCCAUGGAUUCUAAAGCAACACUGUCGAGUGACACCAUGUGGAAGCACAAGACCAUGGAUGAAAUAGUAACUCUAAAUUUUGGGCUGAUCUGUCAGCACUUCUAAACAGGCAGGAUGAAAUCAGGGAGGUCAAAAUAUAUAAAUAUAUCAGUAUAGGAAAAAAAACAGUUCUUCAGAUUAAGCCAGCCUAGGCCACAAAAGGCUCAGAUUAAAAUUUCUGACCAGGAUAACAACAUCUAGUCCAGGUUGAGCAUUGAUUAUUAAGUUACUGAAAGUUGUACAGCAGAAUUAGCACUGAAACCAUGCUGCAAGUCCGCUUCAAGAACAUGAGACAAAAGGCAUAGUGUAUCUAACUAAUAGUGAAAUCGCUAAAUUUGCCUCUAGAUACGCAAGGUCGUUGGCAUAAGAAUAAUGGUGACCUUUUUGUGCAUGCCAUUGUAAGGUUUCACUGGCAUUAUUUUUGUAGGAAGGCCACAUUUGGAAUAUGUACACAUCCUUGUUAUAAGAAAAGUCAAAAUAUGAAGGCCUGAAAAUUUUGUAUAUACGCAAGUACAUUGUAGAUAUGCAAGUACGUUGGCAUAGGAAUAACAGUUCCCUUUUUGCACACGCCAUUUUAAAGCUUCACUGGCUUUACUUUUCUAGGAUGGUCACUUUUGGCGUAUGAACACAGUUAAAAGAAAAGCCAAAAAAUGAAGGCCUGACAGGUUCGUCGGCUCCUGCAUCCAAAGUGAUCCUCAUAUCCAACAGGCGCCUACAACUUACAAGUAAAUUCAUAUAAAUAGACUAAAUGUUGUUUAAACUGGUUGGUGUUAUUCAAACAUUCUUGUAGCCACUACCCCAACGGCCACAGAGAGCCACCACUUUGAUUUCGAAACAAUAUGACAUAGUAUAGACUAAUAGCAUAUACCUGAUAUGACAUGUUAUUAAGCAUGUAAGCAGUUCAUGUGAACAUAGUAGCAAAAAGAUAGCAAUAGCAUGAAGCCAUGAAUAUAUAAAGAUAGAAUAUACCUGAUAAGUGUAGUACAAUCUAUCUGAUGCAACAUUAAGCUGCUCAACUGUGUAGUUGAUUGGUGACCUGUAGUGGGUACCAAGCAAGAACAUCCUCAAUGCAAGCGGGUGGUACAGCUCUAUGACCUGAAAAAGUUGGCAAUCUUUGAGAAAGCAGGGUAUAGUUAUUCAGAAAACACAGUAUUCAUGUAAUGAAUUACCUUGCGUAUAGUGAUAAAGUUACCAAGCGAUUUAGACAUUUUCUGGCCAUUUACAUUGACAAAACCAUUGUGCACCCAGUAAUUUAUGCUGCUGUCACAACAUGCUGCACAGCUUUGAGCAAUUUCAUUCUCAUGAUGUGGAAAUAUCAGGUCCUCCCCGCCACCAUGAAUGUCAAAAGAAUUGCCCAAGUAUUGUGCACUCAUGGCACUGCAUUCAAUGUGCCAUCCUGGCCUACCCGGGCCCCAAGGGCUAUCCCACCAUGGCUCCCCAUCUUUUGCAGCCUACAGUUCACACAAAAUCAACUAACUUGGUGCUGAAGUAAAUAUCUAAAUCAACUCUUCACAGAGCAGACACGGAACAAUCUACAUACUUGAAAUGGGGAAAUGGGACGUCUAUUACCUUCCAUAGGGCAAAAUCAGCUGGGUUUUUCUUUCUCUCGUCAACUGCAACCCUUUCACCAGCUCUAUUAUCAUCUAGUUUUCGACCCGAUAACUUCCCAUAUUCAGGAAAAUUGUCAACAGAGAAAUAGACAUCCCCACUUACUACAUAUGCACAACCAUUAUCGAUGAUCUGUUCCAAGAAAAAUAGCAUAAAAAAAGGAAGUCAAACCAAAAGAAAAGAACUCUAUUAUGAUACUCUGAAAAUAUGAGAACUGUAAGUGUCUGUAAUUUAUUUUGGAUUUGUGUAAACAUAUUAUAUAGGUAAUAGAACUCAGAUUAACAGUAAGACAUACUCCCUCUGUCCCACAAUGUAAGACGUAGCUUGCAAAAACGUCUUAUAUUGUGGGACGGAGGGAGUACUAAACAUCAAUAACACAAAGUAUUGUUCUUCAUGUCCACAGCCGCAUAUACAGAAUUAUAUCACAUCCAACAUUGCCAUAUACAUUAUACAUGUGCAAAGAACUAGUGCAAUCUCAGGUUGUUAUUUUUUUCAUAAAUGAAGAGGAUGUGAGUAUACUGAAUGUAAUAGCAAAUUCCUAGGUUGCCAUGGUAACAACCUACUUUGGAAAUGGAUGUCCUUUGUACAAGAAUUCUAUUUUUAUUAGAUAACCUGCUUAAAAAUGAAGCUCAAAUGCAUUGACCAACCCCAUGAAAGCAGCACAUUAUAAUGAUAACAACCGAAUGCUCUGGAUGGAUAAGAGUACGUCCAAACAAGGGUAUUUCAACCAAAUAUAGGAGCAAAUCCACUUAGCAAGGCUAUUGCAGAAAGCAGUAUAAAAACAAAAGAUAAAUAACAACAACCAACUGCACACACACACACACACACACACACACACACAUACAGAUAUGUAAAAAGUAGUGCACACAAGACAGUACGACACCAAUGAGCCACGUUACAAGUACAACUUACCUGUUUUAUCAUGGUUACAAUCUGAUCAAUGUGAUCUGAAACACGGGGCUCCACAGAUGGUGGUAGACAUUGAAGAUGAGCCAUGUCCGACAGGAAAUCAUCAGAGUAUCUUUUGCUUAAGCUAAAAGGAUCUUCCCCCAAUUGGUUAGCUCUUGCAAUUAUCUACAGAAUUCCAGAAGUGCAACUCAGGUUUCCUGUGCAGAUGUAAUCGGUGUUUAAAUUUUCUUUCUAGUUUUCCAGGUAAACUAGCUUAAUACAAUUAGCAGCGAACUGAAUGCAGUGGAUAUGAACUGAGCAAACUAAAUUCAGGGAUAAGUCUGAAGUGAACUGUUCACAUUACAUGAGCAUCAAAAGAAGACCUCUGCCUUCUCUAUUUCAGUUCAGGUCAUAAUCAUUUUUCUGGACGGUAAUGCUAUAAUUUGACAACUUUUAAAUGGAGAUGAUGCAAGAGAAGCUAUAAAUACAAUAGUAGCAUUUUUUGUUAAAUUAGUUUAAAAACUAAGAACCAAACAUCACUUGUAGUUAUAUGCAAACAAAUUCAACCUGAAAAUCACCUUGUCAUCGAUGUCAGUAAAGUUCCGAACAUAGCGUACUUCAUAGUCCAAAUAACGCAAGUACCUAAGAUGGCCAUAAUUACAUGUCAGGAGACCAAAGAUAAUCAGAUGCAGUGCUUCCCAUUCCCUACCUGGGAAAAAAAAAUUACUUGACGAAAACAAGAGAGGACCAAAUGUUCACUGGUGACAUUACAUGCAUAGUGUUUUAGAAUGCCAGACUAUCAGCGGGUGCAUAAGCCCAUAGAAAAUUUUUACUAGCAUAUUCAAGCUUAGUCGAAUAACUGGACCAUUAUAGCACAGUUUGCUAUGGUGUUAAUGUUAGAACUUCCUAAACUGAGCUGGGCAUAUCACAAAAAUGGGUACUAUUAAGUGUUGACUAUCAAAUGGACAAAUUGCUUCUGGCCUCUCCAUCUAGAGAUAUACAGAGAUAAAAUGGCCUAUUAAAUUCAAUUAUUAGGUAUUAGCAUUGCUUUUACAGUUGCAAAAUCGUUUCUGAUUUUCACCAUUUGACCCACACGAACACACUGGCACAAACACAGGACACAGCCAAGUGGACCAAAACUGCCAUGAAAUCAGCAGCGCCGAGCUUGAAUGACUAGUGGACGGACGAACCUGAAGAGGACAUCGAAGGCGACGUAGGCGCGGGCGUGGCCGAUGUGGCUGUCGUCGUAGGGCGUGACGCCGCAGACGUACAUGCCGACCUCCCCGCCGGGCGCGCGCGGACGGAACGGCUCCCUCCUCCUCGACCUCGUGUUGUACAGGUGCAUGUCCCGGGCCUUCUCCGGGGCCGCGCCAUUGGAGGAGGCGGCGGCGGAGCAGAAGAAGAGCUUGGCGGGGUGGGAAAGGAGGCGGCGGGGGCGAACGAGAGCGGGCAGGGCUAGGGACUCUCCGUGGCGCGGGAAGGCUCGGGACUGUGAGGAGAGGAGCAGCGGGAAGAGGCCGGUGGCGGCGCGCCUCGCCGCCGCCGCCGCCGCCGCCGCCAUCAUGGGUGGGUCGUGAAGGCCGCACGCGCGAGAGGUAGGAUAGCGUUUUUCUGAAUUUUUUGUUUUGCUCCCUAAGAUUUCUGGAUUAGUGCAACAUCUCUCCGCACACGAUCAGUUUGGGUUUGGUCCAAAACCGCCUAGGGCCCGCUCGCCGCUGCAUCCAUGCCACAUUUAAGGUUAGGCAAGUUUGACCAAUUUAGGUGUGUGUUUUGUUCAAGCCACAUCUUAGGCAAGCCACACUCGCAUACACACUAUGGUCCACACUAUGGAUCUAGAACAUAUAUAUAAUGAUGAUAAUAUAAACGGUUCAGAUCUGAAAUCAUGGCACCUGGGCGCAAAAUGACAAGCAUUAAGCAUGACAAAGUCAUAACAACAACAAUCUCAGAACAUAAUGGAUACUAGGGAUCAAGCCCUAACAAAACUAACUCAAUUACAUGAUGAAUCUCAUCCAACUCCUCACCGACCAGCGAGCCUACGAAGGAAGUACUCACUCCCGGUGGGGAGCAUCAUGGAAUUGACGAUAGAGAAGGGUUGGUGAUGACGAAGGUCGAAGAUCCCCCUCUCCGGAGCCCCAAACAGACUCUAGAUCUGGCCUCCCGAUGAAGAACAUGAGAUGGCAGGGGCUCCAUCUCGUGAAACGCGAUAAUUUUUUCUCCCUGUUUUUUUCUAAAAAAUAUGAUUUUAUAGCGUCGGUUUCAGGGUCUGCGGGGCCACCGGGUGGGGACAACCCACCUGGGCAUGCCUGGAAGGGGGGCGCCCUGAUGGGUUGUGCCCAUCCAGAUGCCCCCUCCGGUGGUUCUUCGCUCCAGAAAUUAUCUUUAUUCAUAUAAAAAUUCCUCGUAAAGUUUCGUUCCAAUCUAAGAACUUUUAUUUCUGCACAAAACAACAAUGGUAGCUCUGCUGAAAACAGCGUCAGUCCGGAUUAGUUUCAUUUAAAUCAUGCAAAUUAGAGUUCAAAAUAAGAGAAAAAAGCGUUAGGGAAAGUAGAUACGACGGAGACGUAUCACACAUGACUCAUCAUUUUUGCCCCACAUAGCUUUAAUUGAAAAUUUGUGUGUGUUUCCAAGGCUAUAUUGAUCUAUUUCUUUGUAAUAUUGGUAAUUACUUAGAACAUAAAAAAAA